rnacentral:rRNA from 1 species
UACGUAGGGGGCAAGCGUUGUCCGGAUUCAUUGGGCGUAAAGAGCGUGUAGGCGGCCAGGUAGGUCGGUUGUGAAAACUGGAGGCUCAACCUCCAGAGGUCGACCGAAACCAUCUGGCUAGAGUCCGGGAGAGGAGAGUGGAAUUCCUGGUGUAGCGGUGAAAUGCGCAGAUAUCAGGAAGAACACCCGUGGCGAAAGCGGCUCUCUGGAACGGUACUGACGCUGAGACGCGAAAGCGUGGGGAGCGAACAGG